UAAAUGGCUCUGGCAUCUUUCAAAUUACAG
rnacentral:piRNA from 1 species